rnacentral:tRNA from 1 species
CCUUCGAUAGCUCAGUUGGUAGAGCGGAGGACUGUAGCUGCUACACGCUGAUAUCCUUAGGUCGCUGGUUCGAAUCCGGCUCGAAGGA